UCCCGUGUGGCUCAGUUGGUAGAGCAUGGUGUUUGCAACGCCAGGGUUGUGGGUUCGUUUCCCACGGGGGAG
rnacentral:tRNA from 1 species